ensembl:lncRNA
AUGUCCUCUGAGAAAAGCUUCACAACUGACCCUACUUUGGUUUCUUCCUAUGGCAGAAAUGACUGGGACAAUCCUCGAAAUAAUGGAACUCGAGUUGUCAUUGGCAAUGAGACCGUAUAUGUGGGUAUUUUUUGGGGCUAUCAAAAUGCCAUAAUGAAUGAAGAUCUCACUAAAAGAGAGUUUAUCAAGGGUGAUGACAUCAUAUUUCUCUUCAGCAUGCAAGAUAUCUCAGGGCUAUUUCAAUCUGAGUUUUUACCCUGCCCAAUAAUGGAUUUCAGCAUUUCUUCUCAUUCAACUGCCCAGCAGGGAUCAUGUGCUACAAGAGCUCUUCCCACACCUCAAACAAUCUCAACCACCUCUACAUCACAACCCACUGAGGGUGAAUGCCUAGACAUAUUUUGCAGUUCCAGUGCCAAGACUGUUUCCUCUCUGAUCCUCGUGGUGGUGUGUUUCUUUUUCUGGUGAAUCAAACAUGAGAAAUCACUAUUAACCAUCACCCAGUGUCUGACUACACAAGAAUUCAAUGUCAAAGCAAUACAUCGGUCUUCAGCUUUCUGGUUUAUAAUACAAUUAGCUUGAUACCAUGUGCAUUUUUUUUCCUUACCAUGUGCAUUUUAAUUAAACUAACAUAUCUAUCUAUAUUCACAUAUCUGCAAUCAACAUGUUAAUCUUAGCUCUGAAUACAAUACUUACCAAUGUAAAUCUCUUUAAUGAUGUUUGACUGUCUUUAAAGGAUCAAUUAAAAAGUUUCAAUAGGUGAGGUGUUAUUUUACCAUUUUGGAAACAUGUAGUGGCUAGAAUUGCAUUUCUAUUCACAAAACAGCUUCUGAUUACAUGUAAUAGAGGAAAUCAGUUAUGUAUUCCACAGUGAUUUCAUUAAGAACAGCAGCAGCAUUUUUAUAACAUGGAGUUUACAUGUUGUGUUUUAUAUUGGAGAAGAGACCUAAUUAAGCCUGCACUUGUCAAGCACCACAAAUUGUGGGCUUAAGCCCUUGCCCUUUUUCAAAGUAUUUAUCUCAAUAUUUAUCAUCUACAAUAUUGUGGUCAAUAAAACAAAAUGAAUUUGAAUUAAAAUAUGACCG